ACGACCUUACUUGAACAGGAUCUGUUCUAUAGGCUCGUACCGCUGCAUCCUGACUAAUAAGGAGGCAAGCACUUCAGUCUGGUUGAUGAGUUAUCGGACCUCUGGGCCAGAGCGUGAUUGAUGGCUAGGAUGCCUCCGGCUGGUGCCAUCCGACGGCUGUAGAGGAUCGUUCCUGCUGGGCUUUGGCCUGGUCUGGAAUGGCUCGGAGGUUGUCUGACAGACU